rnacentral:rRNA from 1 species
AGGACAAACGCUGGCGGCGUGCAUAAAACAUGCAAGUCGGACGAGCCAAUCCCCGCAAGGGGAAAGGCUAGUGGCGAACGGCUGAGUAACACGUAGGUGAUCUGCCCUGAAGUGGGGGAUAACGACUCGAAAGAGUCGCUAAUACCGCAUGUGACCAUCGAUCCGUUUUCGAUGCUCAAAGUCGUAAGACGCUUUAGGAGGAGCCUGCGGCGGAUUAGCUAGUUGGUGAGGUAAUGGCCCACCAAGGCUUCGAUCCGU